rnacentral:lncRNA from 1 species
AUAAGGGUGUCAAAUACUGAGAGAUAAUAAUUCCAUUAAUGCAAGAAAGUUAUCCUAUUUGCAUCCAGAGUCAAAUUGCUAAACAGGAAACAAAAACCAAAACAAAGCAAAACAAAACAAUAAGAAAAUAUUUUACUUAUUAGAAAAUUUUCACCCCUUUCAUUGCAUUAUGUGUGGAGUCAAAUUUCUAGGGAUUUGGAUUAACAAUCCAAUUAACAAAUGCCUAUCAGUAACUACCAGGUCUUUAACACUGAACUACUAUGCUUUGUAACAGAAUCAUCUGGGAAGUUUCUAAAUGCAGGUGGUGCUAGAGAUCAGAAUCUUGUUCCUAACCCAGAAUGAGGUUCAUUGUUCUGAAGGAGUUAUUCUAAAGAAGACACCUGAGUCUUUUUGCAGAGGGGGAGGAAAUUAUGGUAUAGGAGACUAAGUAUUUAUACAAAAAAUAAAAACAACAAGGAAUUCGUGAUAAUUUGUAGUUCUCUAACUAUAAAUGUUACCUGCUAUGUUUUUUUUGCAUUGGAGCAGUAAUGAUGCUUAAUCUUUUUUUUUUUUUUUUUUUUUUGGUGUCUGUCUCUUUUGAGUCUGAUGAGUACUUGAAACUUUUGCAAAAAUUAUAUAUUUUAACUUAUUAUGUAAUUAAAAAUCAAACUAUGUAUCUUAAAAUUAAGAUACAUAUAAAAUAUAACCAAAAUAGUAGAAAUAUAUAUUUACCGAUAUGUCUUCUUAGAGAAAGUGGAAGAAUAGUCCUUUGGUCUCACUGAUGGAUAAUUGAAGCCAAAAGUGUGGGUGAAAUCGUUUAUGGGAGGUGUUUGGAGCAUAAAGAGGAAUGGAAGGAAAGGAACACAGGAAGACACAAUGAGGAGAGAAUGAAGGAUUAGGAAUCCAUGAAAACAAAUAAGAAGCAAUAGCCAAAGAGAAAGGAGAGAUGCCAGAAGAGUAUUAUGACAGUGAUGGAAGGUGGUAUUGUCAAGAACAGAGUGAGAAUUAUUGCUAAAUGUUAUGGAGGUUGGGCAAGAUAAAGAAGGCAAUCAUAGUUUUAAGGGGAACAGGAGUAAAGUUCUCAGGACUUGAAGUAAUGGAUCUAUGAGACUAAAGCUUGUGAUUUUCUUAUUUGGAUUUUGAAGUUCUCUGGGAUAGUAACAGGGCUCAGUAUGGAAAAGCUGACUGAUAUAGGAGCUCUUUGUCCCACGUGAGUGAGGUUCUGAGUGGUUGUAGAUUGGUUCUGAAAUGUAGGAUCAAACCCAGAGUUGCCACAACCGUGGUCUCAGAUUUAAAGAUUCUCAUCUGUUAUAAUGCUAUUAAAGGAAUAUGCCAUGUAUCAUUUGUCAGAAAAGUAAAAAUAUUUGUAGCCAUGUUAUCUGUUAUCAGGUGAUCUUGAGUAGUGACAUAGUUUAGAAAUGUUUAAGGUCUAAAAAUCUAAGUAAUCUGUUGUUAAUACUGAAUUCACAUUACAGUCACUCUAGUUGGUUAAAAAAAAAAUUCUGGCAACAAACCAGUCCAGUCAAAAUUUUAAAAGCCUCUUAAAACUUCUGAUUUUGUCCCUGAUAUGUAAACCUCUUGGAAGUCAUUAGUCCUGAUCUUACAAAGGGAAAAUAAUUUGAACAAACUAAAACUCAAUGACUAAUUUUUUUUUGAGCCUUUCAGAAGACUGAAGCCACUGGGAAAAUCACCUUCCCUAAAUGUGGAGAGGGAGAUGAGUCAAGAGUUAGAGUUAAACAGGAU